UUUUGCCAGGUAUCCCGGAGGAAUACCUGCUGGGAAAUUAAGGAAUCCCUGCUGAAAAUUAGGAGUCCCUGAUAACAAAAUGUGGUAAGAACAUGAAAAAACUAAAAUCUAACAAACACAACUGUUUACAGUACUACAUGUAUUUUAUUUCCACUUUAUUUCCAUUUUACAUCAAUGACAACAAUAGCUUGUAUGACUUUUGCUGUUAAAGAAUAAUGUCAUUUCUGUCCAAGUCCUCUUCCCCCUCAUCUUCACUACCAUCGCACUCCUCUGCCAUUUGUUGUAGUUCGUCUAAAUGUAUGCCGCCUAGUUCAUUCCCCCUUAUAACCCCCUUAUUUGUAAUCAUUUUUUUGACAUAAAAAAAAAUUCCGAAAAGUCUCCCUAAAUAAAAAAAAAAUUCAAAAAAAAAAAAAAUGUUCCAACCUACCUACCCUAAUUUUUUGAGCAUGUUACCAGAUACAAAGAUUUUUUAGGCCUUAUUAAUGCAACUCCCACAGACUUUAUCUAAAACUAGUACAUUGGUCAUAAAAGAUUUUCUUAAACAUUUCAUAUUUUAGUUGUUUUAUUUUGCACAUUGCCUAAAAGUGGGUGGGGUUUAGUGUUUGCAUGCUUUUAUUAUCAGCAAAUUCUUCUAAAUAAGAGCUGCUUUGGCAACAGUGAUCAUAUUUUUCGUAAAUGCAGACGUUUUAUUGGCUUUUUAUUUUAGUUUGUACUAGAAAAAUCUUGUAAGAAAUGAUAAAAAUGUUCGAAAAUGUCGGUCUAGAAAACGAGUGACAAAUACGAAAAACAAAAGUAACAGUUAAAGUUCUUGAAAAGAUAACUGUUUUAACUUUAUUUUCUCAUCAUCACCACGUAUAAUUUCUGCUUAUUUAAUUUGUUUUGCCCAAACAAAGCCUCGGCAAUGAUAAUAAAUUUGUUAUAGACCGUAUCGGCCGACCGGCUCAUGUAAUCGUAUCGAGCACACAAAAUAAUGGUACAAACACGAUAAUCUAAGGCUGCAUUGUUUAUCAAUUAACUUGUAAACAUUGAUCAAUAAACACCUUUGAUAAUGACAAGGCAUAUUGUACUAAAUACAAACCGCGAGAUAAGCACGUGUCAUUUGGCGCGUGGCGUGACUGACAUCUGUCGGUAGCUAAUUAACAUACGACGCUCCGCCUACUGCCAUAUUUCCGCUUGUGCCGGUGAACAAUAUUGAAAUUCGCUGGGAUUUUGACUGACAGGGGGCAGAACUAUCGGACUUGGAACGCAUCUAAGUAAAUUUCCGCGAGUCAAGCCGACGCACGUGCCGUAAUUUAUGCGGGUAAAAUACGAGUUUUUCUCGAUUUUCGUGGGUCAAAACCCGGGACCUCGGGUCAACUGAACGCCCUGGCUUAGCAAAAGACCGAUGUUUGAGCGAACAAGACUGGGGAAUUUCAUUUUUUAGAAUCAUAUUUUAUCUGAAAAUCAAGAGUCCCGACGGAACACCGAAAUUGUGAACUUUAGGAUCCCUUGCGGAUUUUUGGUGUCCUCGGGAUCCCGGGACACCGUUAGUGUCGAACGCUGGUUAUUACUUACGUCUUUUAUUGACUUGAGACAAUGUCAUAGAAUGCCAAGUCUGGAUAAAAAACUAACUGUAUUUGAAAAGUACAAAGCCUCGUGGUCUAGUGGAUUAGGUUGCUAAGAAUUAUGUGUGUUUAACCACUUUAAGGUCCAAACCAUGAGAUGUAGAAUUCUUUCAUGUGAGUAAGUGAUCCAGUCGGCUUAUGGAAGCUCGGGUUUGGUUCUACACAUAUGCCUGCCUUUUCAGUUGUUGUUAGUUGCUUUAUUUUCCUUACAGAAUGGAAAGAAAUGUUUUAGAUAGUAGUGUGCUUCUGUUUCUAACUUGUUUGAAACUGCAGGGCACACCAUAGAAUGCAGUCAUUAUGGUUUGUUGUGCAUUUAUCAAAGACCUUCCUUCUUAGAACAAAUAUAUAAUAUCCUUACAUAAAUUGAAUUUUCUUUUUAGCUCGUCUGAUUUUUGAAAAAAAUGUACGAGGUCACUUGAUCGUCAGUGUCGUCGUUGGUUAAAAUUUUUGUUCAGGGCAUCUUUUCUCAAACACUGUAAGAGCUACUGUCUUGAAACUUUGCACACUCGUUUAUCAUCAUUAGGGGUCUAUGUAGGCCAAGAACCAUAACAUUGAUAUGCAUUUCAGUAAAUUUAUGGCUCUUUUUGUCCUUUGAGUUUCUUGGUUAAAAUUUUUGUUCUCAAAAACUAUAAAAGCUACAGCUUUGAAACUUUGCACUCUUGUUUAUUAUCAUUAGGCAACUCUCCCCAAAUCUUCACAUUAAUGGGGAAAUGGCUGUGCUAAACAGAAAUAUUUGAAAAUGUCAACUGCUGUGUAAUUAAAAAAAUAAAUAAAUAGAAGUACUUUCUAAAAAAUAAGGUCAAUAUGGUGUUUAAAUAAUUAACGUUUUUGAGUAUUCCGUCAGUGGAAGAAUAUUUCAAGCAGUGUUUAAAAUCUGUGUUGAACUACACAGCGUGGCAGUUUGCAUAAAGGACAUUACUUACCUACAAGGUGUUUACUUUCAAACAGCUUUCAAGAUCAGUAGAUUGAGCUGUAACUUGACUCCGUCACUUUCACUUUGUGCUGAUAUACAUUUGACUUUGUUGCCGAGGAGUAAUUUCAGCCAUGAACUAAAUAUUUCUGAUACCCCUGUCUGUACUGUGUUUAAAUUUCAGUUUUGUUAUUGUUGAUACAUGUGGGCAAAAUGCUUUAAUAUUGAAAAAUAUUUGAGCCGCGCCAUGGGAAAACCAACAUGAUAGUGGCUUUGCGACCAGCAUGGAUCCAGACCAGCCUGCACAUCUGCGCAGUCUGGUCAGGAUCCAAGCAGUUCGCUUUCAAAGCCUAUAGCAAUUAGAGAAACUGUUAGCGAAAAGCAUGGAUCCUGACCAGACUGGGCAGAUGCGCAGACUGGUCUGGAUCCAUGCUGGUCGCAAAGCCACUAUGUUGGUUUUCUCAUGGCACGGUUGGGCCCUCGAUCGGCCGUUUUUGCCGCCGAAUAUCGGCUGCUUCCCCCGCCAAAAUAGUAUCCUUUUUUCCCCCUCCAGAGAAAAAAAUUCCCCCUUACUGGGCAUUCGGUUGACCCGAGGUCCCGGGUUUUUGAUCCGCGAAAAUCGAGAAAAACUCGUAUUUGACCCGCACAAAAUAUGCUCCGUGCGUCGGGUUGACUUGCAGAAAUUUUGUUUGAUGCGUCUGAGUUCGAAAUUCUGCCCCUUGUCAAUCAAAAUCACAGUCAAUUUCAAUAUUGUUCGCCGUCAUACGCGGAAGUAUGGCAGUAGGCGGAGCGUCAUAUGUUAAUUAGCUGCUAACAGAUGUCAAUCACGCCACGCUCCGAUUGACACGUGGUCAUCUCGCAGUUUAUAUUUAGUACAAUAAUCCCUGUCAUUAUCAAAGGUGUUUACUGAUCAAUGUGUAAAAAUUAAUUGAUAAACAAUGCAGCUUUAGAUUAUCGUCUUUGCACAAAUUGGAUAAUUGAAAUCAUUAUUUUGUUUGCUUGAACGAUUACGUGAGCUGGUCAACCGUUACGGUCUAUAGAAAAUUUAUCAUCAUUGCCGAGGCUUUGUUUGGUCCAAAUAAAUUAAAUGCUUUAAUAAGCAGAAAUUAUAAGUAAUGAAUAGGUAUGGUUAAAAAAAGAAAUUUAAAACAGGUAUUUCAUCAAGAAUUUUAAAUGUUUACUUUCAUUUUCCAUAUUUGUCACCCGUUUUGGCGACCGUGAUUUCCGGACAUUUUCAUCAUUUCUUACAAGAUUUUUUAGUACAACCUAAAUAAAAAGCCAUUUGAAAGUCUGCAUUUAAGAAAAAUAUGAUCACUGUUGCAAAAGCAGCCCUUAUUUUGAAGCAUUUUUGAUAAUAAAAUGCAAAGGCACCAAACCCCACCCACUUUUAGACAACUAAAAUAUAAAUUGAUUAAAAAAAUGUGUAAUGAUAAAUGUACUUGUUUUAGAUAAAGUUUGUCCAAGUUUUAUUAAUAACAGUAUAGCUUGUCCGCUGAAAAGCUGACCUUGACAUGAUUUAAUUGCAGUUACCAGUAGUAUGUUGACAAAAAGAAACAACUUUAGUGUAAUGAGAGUUAUACAUGUUAUAGUUCUUACAUAGUAUGUUAUUCUUUGAAGGCAAUGAAAAUUCCCCCUUUUGGCUAAAAUGACGCGAAAAUUCCCCCGCCUGAGGGCUGCGGACCCCUUCCCCCAAAGUAGAGUGAGGGCCCUGCACGGCUCAUUUUUGAUAAAUGUUUAUGUUAAGAGAUUGCUUGAGCCACAUGUUUACAUGUAUUGUAGAUUUUUAUUCCAGAUUAGUAUGUUUAAGAAAUUAUUUAACAAUACAGAGGUUGAGGUUUGAAACUUGUACUGGUAUGUUCCGGGUUUCAUCUUCUAGUUCAGAAAGCAAUUCAGAACAUCGCAUUAUUUUGUUGCCAGCAUUUAGAAGUUUUAGGUUUGUAAAAUAUAAACUUGAAAUUUUAAACCUCUGUACAUUUAAAUGAAACAAAUAAAUCUGUUGAAUUUUCAAACAAUUUUCUGCAAAUGCUUCUUGCUACAUGCAAUGCUUUUCUGUUUUCUUUUACAAAUAUUUGUGUCUUGAAAUCUUUAUCUCUACAGAUUACAUUUUGAAUUUGUUUAGACAAUAGUUGUGCAUGUAGUGUUACAAUAAAAAUGCUAAUACAGA